GUAUCUUCGGAUAUGAUUAGAGCGGCGGACGGGUGAGUAACGCGUAGGAAUCUACCUAGUAGAAGGGGAUAGCCCGAGGAAACUCGGAUUAAUACCGUAUACCUCCUCCGGGAGAAAGAAGGCCUCUCUUUGAAGCUUUCGCUACUAGAUGAGCCUGCGUAAGAUUAGCUUGUUGGUGAGGUAAAGGCUCACCAAGGCUACGAUCUUUAGCGGGUCUGAGAGGACGAUCCGCCACAUUGGGACUGAGACACGGCCCAGACUCCUACGGGAGGCAGCAGUGGGGAAUAUUGGACAAUGGGCGAAAGCCUGAUCCAGCCAUACCGCGUGUGUGAAGAAGGCCUUAGGGUUGUAAAGCACUUUAAGUUGGGAAGAAAGGUUAUUGGCUAAUACCCAAUAACUGUGACAUUACCAUCAGAAUAAGGACCGGCUAAUUCCGUGCCAGCAGCCGCGGUAAUACGGAAGGUCCAAGCGUUAAUCGGAAUUACUGGGCGUAAAGCGCGCGUAGGUGGUUUAUUAAGUUGGAUGUGAAAGCCCCGGGCUCAACCUGGGAACUGCAUCCAAAACUGAUUCACUAGAGUACGAUAGAGGGAGGUAGAAUUCACAGUGUAGCGGUGGAAUGCGUAGAUAUUGUGAAGAAUACCAAUGGCGAAGGCAGCCUCCUGGAUCUGUACUGACACUGAGGUGCGAAAGCGUGGGUAGCGAACAGGAUUAGAUACCCUGGUAGUCCACGCCGUAAACGAUGUCAACUAGCUGUUGGAAAGCAUUGCUUUUCAGUGGCGCAGCUAACGUAGUAAG
rnacentral:rRNA from 1 species